UUACGGCCACAUCGCGUUGAAACACUAGUUCCCGUCCGAUCACCGAAGUUAAGCAAUGUCGAGCCUGGUCAGCACCUACAUGGGUGACCGCUUCGUAAUGUCAGAUGCUGUAA